UACAGAGGUCCCAAGCGUUGUUCGGAUUCACUGGGCGUAAAGGGUGCGUAGGCGGUUGGGUAAGUCUGAUGUGAAAUCUCACAGCUUAACUGUGAAACUGCAUUGGAUACUAUCCGGCUAGAGGAAUGGAGGGGAGACUGGAAUACUUGGUGUAGCAGUGAAAUGCGUAGAUAUCAAGUGGAACACCAGUGGCGAAGGCGGCAUCCUGGACCAACACUGACACUGAUGAGCGAAAGCCAGGGGAGCAAACGGG
rnacentral:rRNA from 1 species